rnacentral:rRNA from 1 species
CCUACGGGUGGCAGCAGCAGGGAAUAUUGCACAAUGGGCGAAAGCCUGAUGCAGCGACACCGCGUGCGGGAUGAAGGCCUUCGGGUUGUAAACCGCUUUCAGGAGGGACGAAAAUGACGGUACCUCCAGAAGAAGGCCCGGCUAACUACGUGCCAGCAGCCGCGGUAAUACGUAGGGGCCAAACGUUGUCCGGAUUUAUUGGGCGUAAAGGGCUCGUAGGCGGUUCAACAAGUCGGUCGUGAAAACCCGGGGCUCAACCCCGGGACGCCGGUCGAAACUGUUGUGACUAGGGUCCGGUAGAGGUGAGUGGAAUUCUCGGUGUAGCGGUGGAAUGCGCAGAUAUCGAGAGGAACACCAGUAGCGAAGGCGGCUCACUGGACCGGUACCGACGCUGAGGAGCGAAAGCAUGGGGAGCAAACAGGAUUAGAUACCCGAGUAGUC